CCCGGAUCAUCCCGAUCCGGUAAGCUUCGACCUCCGGUUUUCUCACCCACGAGGUUGACCCCGUGUAUUUGGUCGUGAAAAGGGGAGACGAGAGACGGAGGCGACGCAACGGCGGGGAAAGGCGAUGGCGGCGUGGACUGAACGAGCGAACCACAACGGCGACGACGAGAUCCUGCUCCGGCGAUUGGUCCCCUAUUUUGCAGUAGGUUGGUCUCAUACAUCAAAAUAUGUAGAGAGACCAAUUUAUUCAAGACGAGGAGUCGGCUAUCAUGUGGCUCCGGGGAGAGCUGCAAGAGUUGACUUGAGGUUGAUCUUGAUGAAAACAUUUGGAAGGAUAUGAACAACGAAUGAUCCCACCAACUGCUUUUUAGAACUGGCAUUUGAGAGCAGCAUAAUUUUUUUUUGCCACCGAAUAGAAUAUUCCAUGAGAUCGAAUGAUCCGUUUUUUUUUGUAUUACCAUGCAAUGUUUUAUAAACAUUCUUAUAUAUUUAUUGCAAAGAUAUGAUUUUUAUUUGA